GAGAUACUCCCUCCGUCCCAAAAUUCUUGUCUUAGAUAUGUCUAGAUACGGAUGUAUCUAAUACUAAAACGUGACUUGAUACAUCCGUAUUUAGCCAAAUCUAAGACAAGAAUUUUGGGACGGAGGGAGUACUUU
rfam:Triticum urartu cultivar G1812 contig450702, whole genome shotgun sequence.